rnacentral:lncRNA from 1 species
AGAGACACCCUGCCCUGCAGCAGGGAGAGCUUGAAGGACACUCACUCCAGCAGGAAAACAGCAACGCGCGGUGGCUGGCUCUGGCUUUGUCUGGGAAUGUUCAACAGUGCACAGUGUGUUCGUUGUAUUUCUGCCUCGGCCGGCCGUGAUUAUUCCUCCUCGCAAAGGUCUGAAUUAAGAAGCUAAGCUGGAAAUGAGCGGGGCAAGUGGUUCUCAGCUUGUGGCGUUAAACUUUCUCCAGACCAGAUCGUCUUGCUUUUGGAGUGGCUCUUAGAGCAGAAGACGCUGAGCCCUCAGACACUGCACUGUCUCCAGCAGACUUACCAUCUCCCAGAGCAGGAUGCAGAGGGACGCCCUGACUACAUACAUGUACUGUGGACUGCCCAGCAAUCGAUGGUGUGAAAGCCGUCCUUCCUCUGAAGAACUCUCUGCCUGAUCUGUCCUCAGAGCCCGACCAUGCUGCUCUCCGUCUGUGGCAUUAAUAACUGAAUAAAUCUCUUACCC